rnacentral:rRNA from 1 species
UGGGGAAUAUUGCGCAAUGGGGGGAACCCUGACGCAGCCAUGCCGCGUGAAUGAAGAAGGCCUUCGGGUUGUAAAGUUCUUUCGGUAUUGAGGAAGGUUGAUGUGUUAAUAGCACAUCAAAUUGACGUUAAAUACAGAAGAAGCACCGGCUAACUCCAUGCCAGCAGCCGCGGUAAUACGGAGGGUGCGAGCGUUAAUCGGAAUAACUGGGCGUAAAGGGCACGCAGGCGGUUAUUUAAGUGAGGUGUGAAAGCCCCGGGCUUAACCUGGGAAUUGCAUUUCAGACUGGGUAACUAGAGUACUUUAGGGAGGGGUAGAAUUCCACGUGUAGCGGUGAAAUGCGUAGAGAUGUGGAGGAAUACCGAAGGCGAAGGCAGCCCCUUGGGAAUGUACUGACGCUCAUGUGCGAAAGCGUGGGGAGCAAACAGGAUUAGAUACCCUGGUAGUCCACGCUGUAAACGCUGUCGAUUUGGGGGUUGGGGUUUAACUCUGGCGCCCGUAGCUAACGUGAUAAAUCGACCGCCUGGGGAGUACGGCCGCAAGGUUA